UAAUACGUAGGGUGCAAGCGUUAAUCGGGAAUUACUGGGCGUAAAGCGUGUGUAGGCGGUUCGGAAAGAAAGAUGUGAAAUCCCAGGGCUCAACCUUGGAACUGCAUUUUUAACUGCCGAGCUAGAGUAUGUCAGAGGGGGGUAGAAUUCCACGUGUAGCAGUGAAAUGCGUAGAUAUGUGGAGGAAUACCGAUGGCGAAGGCAGCCCCCUGGGAUAAUACUGACGCUCAGACACGAAAGCGUGGGGAGCGAAACAGGAUUAGAUACCCUGGUAGUCCACGCCCUAAACGAUGUCUAACUAGCUGUUGGGGCCG
rnacentral:rRNA from 1 species